GAUGAACGCUGGCGGCGUGCCUAAUACAUGCCAGUCGAGCGAACAGACGAGGAGCUUGCUCCUUUGACGUUAGCGGCGGACGGGUGAGUAACACGUGGGUAACCUACCUAUAAGACUGGGAUAACUUCGGGAAACCGGAGCUAAUACCGGAUAAUAUUUCGAACCGCAUGGUUCGAUAGUGAAAGAUGGCUUUGCUAUCACUUAUAGAUGGACCUGCGCCGUAUUAGCUAGUUGGUAAGGUAACGGCUUACCAAGGCAACGAUUCGUAGCCGACCUGAGAGGGGAAUCGGCCACACUGGAACUGAGACACGGUCCAGACUCCUACGGGAGGCAGCAGUAGGGAAUCUUCCGCAAUGGGCGAAAGCCUGACGGAGCAACGCCGCGUGAGUGAUGAAGGUCUUCGGAUCGUAAAACUCUGUUAUUAGGGAAGAACAAACGUGUAAGUAACUGUGCACGUCUUGACGGUACCUAAUCAGAAAGCCACGGCUAACUACGUG
rnacentral:rRNA from 1 species